GAUGAACGCUAGCUACUAGGCUUAACACAUGCAAGUCGAGGGGCAGCAUGAACAUAGCUUGCUAUGUUUGAUGGCGACCGGCGCACGGGUGCGUAACACGUAUCCCAACUACCCAUGGCUCGGGGAUAGCCUUUCGAAAGAAAGAUUAAUACCCGAUGGUCUCGGUUUAAGGCAUCUUAGACUGAGUAAAGAUUUAUCGGCGAUGGAUGAGGAUGCGUCUGAUUAGGUAGAUGGCGGGGUAACGGCCCACCUAGCCUUCGAUCAUUAGGGGUUCUGAGAGGAAGGUCCCCCACAUUGGAACUGAGACACGGUCCAAACUCCUACGGGAGGCAGCAGUGAGGAAUAUUGGGCAAUGGGGGAAACCCUGACCCAGCAACGCCGCGUGAAGGAAGAAGGCCUUCGGGUUGUAAACUUCUUUUACCAGGGACGAAGAACGUGACGGUACCUGGAGAAAAAGCAACGGCUAACUACGUG
rnacentral:rRNA from 1 species